rnacentral:rRNA from 1 species
GACGAACGCUGGCGGCGUGCCUAAUACAUGCAAGUUGAGCGCUGAAGGUUGGUACUUGUACCAACUGGAUGAGCAGCGAACGGGUGAGUAACGCGUGGGGAAUCUGCCUUUGAGCGGGGGACAACAUUUGGAAACGAAUGCUAAUACCGCAUAAAAACUUUAAACACAAGUUUUAAGUUUGAAAGAUGCAAUUGCAUCACUCAAAGAUGAUCCCGCGUUGUAUUAGCUAGUUGGUGAGGUAAAGGCUCACCAAGGCGAUGAUACAUAGCCGACCUGAGAGGGUGAUCGGCCACAUUGGGACUGAGACACGGCCCAAACUCCUACGGGAGGCAGCAGUAGGGAAUCUUCGGCAAUGGACGAAAGUCUGACCGAGCAACGCCGCGUGAGUGAAGAAGGGUUUCGGACCGUAAAACUCUGUUGGUAGAGAAGAACGUUGGUGAGAGUGGAAAGCUCAUCAAGUGACGGUAACUACCCAGAAAGGGACGGCUAACUACGUG